GACCGGAUCUGGCCCGUGGCUUUGCCCGUGCCGUCUGUUACAGUGCGCCACACAGGGCAGAGCGGGACCCUCGAGCCCAGUUACCCGUCAUCCCAUCGCAGAGUCCGUCCCCAUCAUUUAAUGGGUUAUUUCGGAGCUAGAGAGAAAUCAUCAGGCCGUACACGCGCAGGGACUGGGCAGCGUUCGCUCCAUUACGCCAGCGCUUCCGUCUGAAAAUAUUCCAGAGCGGAUCAUUCCAGAAACAGAUCUUGUGACCCCCCACCAGCCGGGAACUGAGGCCCUGUCAUUCCUCCACGGCAAUGGUUGUCGUCAGAUAGCCAGAGGUGGAACGUAAAAUGGAGGCACCGAGAAUCUCUCCUACUGACCCAAACCAGACAGGUCACCUUCCGGAAGGAGUCUGCUCUUCUUUAUAGCGCUCUCCCCGCAGUGUACCCCGCUCCACAAUCAAGCUCCUUCACCAACCUGUGGUAGUGAAACUCACAUCUACAUGAGAUGUUCCGAGUGGCCUGCAGGGGGCGUUAAGAUGCUGACACAGCCGCUGAAUUCCUGCGCUGGCUGAAAGCCCGUGUGACCACGCUAAGACACCAGUAUCUCCAUCUUCCCAGCAGCCCCCGCGGAAGGUGGGAAUAGGAUAGACGC